GCUGUGGCCACGGCACCUGCUGUCCCCGGAGCCUGGGCACCGACGUAAGGGAGGAAGGCGGCGCCUCCCUUUUCCCCUGCCCUGGCCACAGGAGCCUCAGGAUUGACAGCUCAUCUGCGGAUGGCAGAAGGAAGAAGGAUGAGGAAGACUUGAGCCUGGCCGGGCAAUCCUUGGUUUCCUCAUGAACCCUUGCAAUCGGGUUACAUUUUGAACAUCACUGGGACAUGCUAAGAACUCCUCUGGAGCACAGCAGUGCUCACAUCAAUAGUCCAGCAGAUUGAGCACGGAGAUGUCAGCAGACACACUUGCAAGUUUGGUCUGAAAACCAGAGGGACCGUGCCCACGAUCCCCGCCGUUUCCCUGACCAGCACGGCUGUGGCGAGUUCGUUGUUCAAUCCCGGAUGGCUCAGCAAAUCCAACCCCCUCCGCCCUGUUCUAUCGCCGCAUGGAUCUGCAGAGGCAGCCGUUCCUGCCGGGUGGAUUUGCCUUCCGCGAAGGACAACACAGAACCACUCUGAGUUAUUUGACACUGACAUCGAUCCUAGUUGGCUGACUCUGGUUGGUGGUGAGAGGACAAAUGUUCCCAGGGACUAUUAAACAACCACAAAAAUCUGAGAGGGCGGUUAUCUGAACAUGGAACAGAAACAAGACAGUAACGAGUUCCAAUGUUCUUUUUUUUUUCUACACAGGAUUCAAACGAACUCAGAGUAGCGAGAUCAGAAUACAUGAAUCUGACCUGUUUUUACUCACAACACCUCUGAUACCAAGUGCGUGGGUUUUUUUCACACCGAAAACCAGUUCUCCCAACUCUCCAGACACCAACUGGGUGGCCUACGAUUCCGUUCAAACGUGACACUAACUCCACAGGCUCCGAGGCUCAGUCCCUCAGGACUGCCCUGAGUUCAGACGCCAGCCUCCUGACUCCAGCCCAGGGUACCCACACUUCUGUCCAACUUGGCUACAAAGUUGGGGGUUUCCUACAUUCCCCCCACCCUCCCUCCCAGUUUCACAUUCAGUAAUUUGCUAGAACAGCUCACAGAACUCAGGAAGGCACUUUACUGGUACUGGUUUAUUAUUAAUAUAAAGCAUUGGACUCAGAACAGCCAGAUGGAAAAGAUGCUUAGGACGAGGUGAGGGGGGUGGAAGGCCAAGGGGCUUCCUCAUCCUCUCCAGGCUGCCACCCCUCCCAACACACCUCCAUGUGUUCACCAACCCAGAAAUUCUCCACAUUUUUUUUUUUGAGUCAGCGUCUUGCUCUGUCACCCAGGCUGGAGCGCAGUGGCACGGUCUCGGCUCACUGCAACCUCUGCUUCCUGGGUUCAAGCAAUUCUCCUGCCUCAGCCUCCCGAGCAGCUGGGAUGACAAGUGUCUGCCACAUGUCUGGCUAAUUUUUGUACCUUUAGUAGAGACGGGGUUUCACCAUGUUGACCAGGCUGGUCUCAAACUCCUGACCUCCAGUGAUCCACCCACCUCGGCCUCCCAGUGCUGGGAUUACAGGUGUGAGCCACCCUGCCUGGCUCACAUUCUGUCAUUUGGGGCUCUUUUUUUUUUUUUUUUUGGAUUCAUUAUGUAGGCAUGAUUGAUUAAUCACUGGCUGUUGGUGAUUAACUUAAUCUCCAGCCCCUCUCCCCUCCCCAAAGGUCAGAGGUCUGAGCUGAAAGUUCUGACUAAUUCCAGCUCCCAGCCCCCAUCCUGGAGCUGCCCAGUCCUCUCACUGACAUUCAAAAAACACUCAUCCCUCUGGAGAUCCCAAGGGUUUUGGAAGCUCUGGACCAGAAAACAGGAUCAAAGACCAAAUAUGCAGCCACGGCCCCAUCCACCUCUGAGGGCAUGUGCUCUGGCCUUACUAUGACGGCGGCGGUGGCGAGUCUGAUACAGGCGGGAUGAUGCACGCUUUAUCUGGAACCCUUGGCCUUGGAUAAAAUUUGUCUUCUGUAGCAGUUACGUCCAUGGAGCUAAGUCCAGGUCCACCUGCCAUUGCAAUUAUGGCAGGGAAAAGGACAGAGGGAGCUGACGAUUACACCUAACUUUGGAUUUGGGGCACCCUUCUGUUCCCCCACUUCCUGCUUCGCUGACACUCACACCCCCAAAGGCGGUGGCGCAGAAGCUGAAAUCAGGGCUCAGGACUCCAUCUACAGCCAGGCCCACGAGCAGGGUCUGUUCUGAAGGCUCCACCAGCAGCUGUGUCCCAAGCCAACUGGCAAGACACCGUCCCACCCGACAGUGGCUUCCUCCCCGUGGCGUCAUCUCCCUUCCAAAGAGGGAGGAAUUUGGACUAUUACCCACGAACGAUAGCAGGCUAAGAAACAAAUUAUGAUUACGAAAGAUUAAAGAAAAAAAAAA